rnacentral:tRNA from 1 species
CAAGAUAGGGCUUGUUAGUGAAGCAUUUCAUUUACGCUGAAGUUAAUUCUGUGCAAUUCAGGAUAUCUUGA